GACGAACGCUGGCGGCGUGCUUAACACAUGCAAGUCGAACGGAAAGGCCCUGCUUUUGUGGGGUGCUCGAGUGGCGAACGGGUGAGUAACACGUGAGUAACCUGCCCUUGACUUUGGGAUAACUUCAGGAAACUGGGGCUAAUACCGGAUAGGAGCUCCUGCUGCAUGGUGGGGGUUGGAAAGUUUCGGCGGUUGGGGAUGGACUCGCGGCUUAUCAGCUUGUUGGUGGGGUAGUGGCUUACCAAGGCUUUGACGGGUAGCCGGCCUGAGAGGGUGACCGGCCACAUUGGGACUGCGGUACGGCGCAGAGUCCUACGGGAGGCAGCAGUGGGGAAUAUUGCACAAUGGGCGGAAGCCUGAUGCAGAAACGCCGCGUGCGGAAUGACGGCCUUCGGGUUGUAAACCGCUUUCGCCUGUGACGAAGCGUGAGUGACGGUAAUGGGUAAAGAAGCACCGGCUAACUACGUG
rnacentral:rRNA from 1 species